rnacentral:rRNA from 1 species
CCUACGGGUGGCAGCAGUGAGGAAUAUUGGUCAAUGGGCUUACGCCUGAACCAGCCAAGUCGCGUGAGGGAAGACUGCCCUAUGGGUUGUAAACCUCUUUUGUCAGGGAGCAACGCCGGCUACGUGUAGCCGGACUGAGAGUACCUGAAGACAAAGCAUCGGCUAACUCCGUGCCAGCAGCCGCGGUAAUACGGAGGAUGCGAGCGUUAUCCGGAUUUAGUGGGUGUAAAGGGUGGGUAGGUGGCUUAUUAAGUUAGAGGUGAAAGCCCGAAGCUCAACUUCGGAACUGCCUUUAAAACUGGUUGGCUUGAGUGUGGGAGAGGUUAGUGGAACUCCUAGUGUAGCGGUGGAAUGCGUAGAUAUUAGGAAGAACAUCAGAGGCGAAGGCGACUAACUGGAACAUUACUGACACUGAAACACGAAAGCGUGGGGAGCAAACAGGAUUAGAUACCCCUGUAGUC